rnacentral:lncRNA from 1 species
AUGGUCUGCACAGCAGCGAAAUUGAAAAUGCUGAGACAAAUGCUUAUAAACUCUACUACAGCCUCUAGCUUUGAACUGAUGGCCCAGACGAACUCACCAUCCUUAAAUAUCUCACAGGGACCAGUCAGUGUGGCGCCGCUACUCAGACCAACAGGGAGAGGACUGAGAGAUGGAGAGUUAAGUAAACCAGAUUUGGUCACCUAUGUGAUUAUAUUCCUUGUUUUAUUUCUCCUCGUAUUGGUAAUAGUGUUUUUUAUCAACUGCCAGUUGAAGAACUCUUUCUUUGCAACCAUGCCUUAUGACAGGUCAUUAAGAGAGGCAAGAAGUUCGUGGAGGAGUGCAAGACUGUGAAUUAAGCACAAAUGGAUUAAGCAAAGACUGUUAUUUUUCCCACUUUUAAAGAUCACGAAGGACUACUAUAUGGCCUUGCACAAUUCCAGAAGUAAUGAUUAUGUUCUGUAGAAUGUUUGUUUAUAUUGUAUAAAGCUGAAAUAUUCUAGAAUCUUAAUAGCAUUUACAGUGUUUUCCCUACAUGUCUGUAAAUAAAUAACUGCAAAUACAGUAUUUGUUCUUUUUUACUGCCACUACCACAUGGGUUUUGGUGGAGCAUGUAUCAGAACUGACCCAUUAGCACUGGUGAAAAACUAGUCUGGAACUGCUGGUGAAAUGUAGAAUGUACUUCCAUUUUUA